rnacentral:rRNA from 1 species
GACGAACGCUGGCGGCGUGCCUAAUACAUGCAAGUUGAGCGAUGAAGAUUGGUGCUUGCCCCAAUUUGAAGAGCAGCGAACGGGUGAGUAACGCGUGGGGAAUCUGCCUUUGAGCGGGGGACAACAUUUGGAAACGAAUGCUAAUACCGCAUAAUAACUUUAAACAUAAGUUUUAAGUUUGAAAGAUGCAAUUGCAUCACUCAAAGAUGAUCCCGCGUUGUAUUAGCUAGUUGGUGAGGUAAAGGCUCACCAAGGCGAUGAUACAUAGCCGACCUGAGAGGGUGAUCGGCCACAUUGGGACUGAGACACGGCCCAAACUCCUACGGGAGGCAGCAGUAGGGAAUCUUCGGCAAGGGACGAAAGUCUGACCGAGCAACGCCGCGUGAGGGAAGAAGGGUUUCGGAUCGUAAAACUCUGUUGGUAGAGAAGAACGUUGGUGAGAGUGGAAAGCUCAUCAAGUGACGGUAACUACCCAGAAAGGGACGGCUAACUACGUG